rnacentral:rRNA from 2 species
GGCAAUUGGCGGGGUGCUAUACAUGCAAGUCGAGCGAAUCUGAUGGGAGCUUGCUCCCUGAUGAUUAGCGGCGGACGGGUGAGUAACACGUGGGUAACCUGCCUGUAAGACUGGGAUAACUCCGGGAAACCGGGGCUAAUACCGGAUAACUUUUUUCUUCGCAUGAAGGAGAAUUGAAAGAUGGCUUCGGCUAUCACUUACAGAUGGACCCGCGGCGCAUUAACUAGUUGGUGAGGUAACGGCUCACCAAGGCGACGAUGCGUAGCCGACUUGAGAGGGUGAUCGGCCACACUGGGACUGAAACACGGCCCAAACUCCUACGGGAGGCAGCAGUAGGGAAUCUUCCGCAAUGGACGAAAGUCUGACGGAACAACGCCGCGUGAGUGAUGAAGGUUUUCGGAUCGUAAAACUCUGUUGUUAGGGAAGAACAAGUAUCGUUCGAAUAGGGCGGUACCUUGACGGUACCUAACCAGAAAGCCACGGCUAACUACGUGCCAGCAGCCGCGGUAAUACGUAAGUGGCAAGCGUUGUCCGGAAUUAUUGGGCGUAAAGCGCGCGCAGGCGGUUUCUUAAGUCUGAUGUGAAAUCUUGCGGCUCAACCGCAAGCGGCCAUUGGAAACUGGGAGACUUGAGUGCAGAAGAAGAGAGUGGAAUUCCACGUGUAGCGGUGAAAUGCGUAGAGAUGUGGAGGAAACCAGUGGCGAAGGCGACUCUCUGGUCUGUAACUGACGCUGAAGCGCGAAAGCGUGGGGGAGCGAAAAGAAUAGAUACCCUGGUAGUCCACCGCCGUAAACGAUGAGUGCUAAGUGUUAGAGGGUUUCCGCCCUUUAGUGCUGCAGCUAACGCAUAAGCACUCCCGGCUGGGGAGUACGGCCGCCAGCUGAAACUCAAGGAAUGACGGGGCCGCACAAGCGGUGGAGCAUGUAUAAUCGAAGCAACGCGAGACUACAGUCUGACAUCUCUGGACUCCUAGAGAUAGGAAUUCCCUCGGGACAGAGUGACAGGUGGUGCAUGGAUGUCGUUCAGCU